rnacentral:rRNA from 1 species
AUUGAACGCUGGCGGCAGGCCUAACCCAUGCAAGUCGAACGAGUGGCGGACGGGUGAGUAAUGUCUGGGAAACUGCCCGAUGUAGGGGGAUAACUACUGGAAACGGUAGCUAAUACCGCAUACCAUCGGAUGUUCCCAGAUGGGAUUAGCUAGUAGGUGGGGUAACGGCUCACCUAGGCGACGCUCCCUAGCUGGUCUGAGAGGAUGACCAGACACACUGGAACAGAGACACGGUCCAGACUCCGACGGGAGGAAGCAGUGGGGAAGAUUGCAAAAUGGGCGCAAGCCUGAUGCAGCCAUGCCGCGGCGAUGAAGAAGGCCUUCGGGUUGUAAAGUACUUUCAGCGAGGAGGCGUUACUCGCAGAAGAAGCACCGGCUAACUCCGUGCCAGCAGCCGCGGUAAUUC